CAAGCAAAUCAAGUGGUUGCCCCUCGCAUAGUCUUCGCUUCUUCAGUCAAAUAAAUGAUUCAACCAGUAAAAAAUAUUGGAUAGCAGAGACUAUGCGAGGGGAGGAAAGUCCGGACACCCUCCGAUCCAAAAUCGGAGUCAUGGCAGUCGUAAAAGCGACCGAGUAUAAGAAGUACGAUAAAAGAUAUACGAUCGUAAUUUUUUAUCGGACAACUUUAAAACCCAGGGAAAGUGCCACAGAAAAUAUACCGCCCUUCACAUAUUUUUCUUUUUUGUUUUACAGAAUCUCAAUUAUCAAGAAGAAAAAUACGUGAAGGGUAAGGGUGAAAAUGCGUUCCGUUGUAAAAUGCGGAAUCUUGAGCUUUGUCUCAAGAGGGUAAAAGCCCACACAUCUCUAUGGCGACAUAGAAAUGCGGAAAACCCUGCCUGGUGCAAGAGCUCAAAGACAGCUCGCUAAGAUAGAUGACCACACUAUCGCGCUACGGCGCAAAAUAGAACAGAAUCCGGCUUAUGAUUUGCUUGGAUU
rnacentral:RNase_P_RNA from 1 species